GACGGACGCUGGCGGCGUGCUUAACACAUGCAAGUCGAGCGGGAAACUUCGGUUUCCAGCGGCGGACGGGUGAGUAACACGUGGGCAACCUGCCUCACAAUGAGGGAUAGCCCUCCGAAAGGAGGAUUAAUACCUCAUAACACAAGAGAAACGCAUGUUUCUCUUGCCAAAGAAUUUCGUUGUGAGAUGGGCCCGCGGCGCAUUAGCUUGUUGGUGAGGUAACGGCUCACCAAGGCUUCGAUGCGUAGCCGACCUGAGAGGGUGAUCGGCCACAUUGGAACUGAGACACGGUCCAGACUCCUACGGGAGGCAGCAGUGGGGAAUAUUGCACAAUGGAGGAAACUCUGAUGCAGCAACGCCGCGUGAGUGAUGAAGGUCUUCGGAUUGUAAAGCUCUGUCUUCUGGGACGAUAAUGACGGUACCAGAGGAGGAAGCCACGGCUAACUACGUGCCAGCCGCCGCGGUAAAAC
rnacentral:rRNA from 1 species